rnacentral:tRNA from 1 species
UGGGAUGUAGCUCAGUAGUAGAGUACUUGCUUAGCAUGUAUGAGGCCCUGGGUCCAAUUCCCAGGACCACAU